CUACGUGCCAGCAGCCGCGGUAAUACGGAAGGUCCAGGCGUUAUCCGGAUUUAUUGGGUUUAAAGGGAGCGUAGGCGGAUUAUUAAGUCAGUGGUGAAAGACGGUGGCUCAACCAUCGUUAGCCAUUGAAACUGGUAGUCUUGAGUGCAGACAGGGAUGCUGGAACUCGUGGUGUAGCGGUGAAAUGCUUAGAUAUCACGAUGAACUCCGAUCGCGAAGGCAGGUGUCCGGGCUGCAACUGACGCUGAGGCUCGAAAGUGUGGGUAUCAAACAGGAUUAGAUACCCUGGUAGUCCGCACAGUAAACGAUGGAUGCCCGCUGUUAGCGCCUGGCGUUAGCGGCUAAGCGAAAGCAUUAAGCAUCCCACCUGGGGAGUACGCCGGCAACGGUGAAACUCAAAGGAAUUGACGGGGGCCCGCACAAGCGGAGGAACAUGUGGUUUAAUUCGAUGAUACGCGAGGAACCUUACCCGGGCUUGAAUUGCAGAGGAAUUAUUUAGAGAUA
rnacentral:rRNA from 1 species